rnacentral:pre_miRNA from 1 species
AUGAACUGCUCCUCCUCCCAUACCCAUUGCAUAUCGGAGUUGUGAUUUCUCAAAAACACCUCCUGUGUGCAUGGAUUACAGGAGGGUGAGCCUUGCCUUCAUGAGCCUUCU